AGUGAACGCUGGCGGUAGGCCUAACACAUGCAAGUCGAACGGCAGCACAGAGGAGCUUGCUCCUUGGGUGGCGAGUGGCGGACGGGUGAGGAAUACAUCGGAAUCUACUCUGUCGUGGGGGAUAACGUAGGGAAACUUACGCUAAUACCGCAUGCGACCUACGGGUGAAAGCAGGGGACCUUCGGGCCUUGCGCGAUUGAAUGAGCCGAGGUAGGAUUAGCUAGUUGGCGGGGUAAAGGCCCACCAAGGCGACGAUCCGUAGCUGGUCUGAGAGGAUGAUCAGCCACACUGGAACUGAGACACGGUCCAGACUCCUACGGGAGGCAGCAGUGGGGAAUAUUGGACAAUGGGCGCAAGCCUGAUCCAGCCAUACCGCGUGGGUGAAGAAGGCCUUCGGGUUGUAAAGCCCUUUUGUUGGGAAAGAAAUCCAGCUGGCUAAUACCCGGUUGGGAUGACGGUACCCAAAGAAUAAGCACCGGCUAACUUCGUGCCAGCCGCCGCCAGUAA
rnacentral:rRNA from 1 species